rnacentral:lncRNA from 1 species
GACCCGCUGCCACGGGGGGUAGGACAAAAUAUGUCAUGCAAGUCUUAUCGCAAGCAUGUAUGACUAUAUACGGAAUAUAUAUGUCUACAUUACAUUGAUGAAUUGGAGCUAGUUCUGUGUCACCCUAGUGUGUAACAGUUAUAAGAUCAAUGUCAUCUAAAUCAUUAUCCAUCACUGGUCCACGUGCCUACGCUUUACAUAUACUGAAUCUUGUUAAGUUACUACUAUGUUGUUGCUGUCACACC